rnacentral:rRNA from 1 species
UACGUAGGGUGCAAGCGUUAAUCGGAAUUACUGGGCGUAAAGCGUGCGCAGGCGGUUCUGUAAGUCUGUCGUGAAAUCCCCGGGCUUAACCUGGGAAUUGCGAUGGAGACUGCAAUGCUAGAAUCUGGCAGAGGGGGGUAGAAUUCCACGUGUAGCAGUGAAAUGCGUAGAGAUGUGGAGGAACACCGAUGGCGAAGGCAGCCCCCUGGGUCAAGAUUGACGCUCAUGCACGAAAGCGUGGGGAGCAAACAGG